rnacentral:tRNA from 1 species
GCUCCGGUAGCUCAGUUGGUAGAGCAGGCGGCUCUUAACCGUCGUGUCGGGAGUUCAAGUCUCCCUCGGAGUAC